UACAGGGGGUGCAAACGUUGCUCGGAAUCAUUGGGCGUAAAGCGCACGUAGGCGGUUCGUUAUGUCGGAUGUGAAAGCCCUUGGCUUAACCGAGGAAGUGCAUCCGAAACUGGCGAGCUAGAGUACUAAAGAGGAUCGCGGAAUUCCCGGUGUAGAGGUGAAAUUCGUAGAUAUCGGGAGGAACACCAACGGCGAAAGCACUCUGCUGGGCCGACACUGACACUGAGAGACGAAAGCUAGGGGAGCGAAUGGG
rnacentral:rRNA from 1 species